GACAGAGGGUGCAAACGUUGUUCGGAAUUACUGGGCGUAAAGCGAGUGUAGGCGGUCCGCUAAGUCGGGUGUGAAAGCCCUGGGCUCAACCCAGGAAGUGCACUCGAAACUGGCGGGCUAGAGUACUGGAGAGGUUGGUGGAAUUCUCGGUGUAGAGGUGAAAUUCGUAGAUAUCGAGAGGAACACCGGUGGCGAAGGCGGCCAACUGGACAGAUACUGACGCUGAGACUCGAAAGCGUGGGGAGCAAACAGG
rnacentral:rRNA from 1 species